UUGCUUCUCUUGAGAGCGGCGGACGGGUGAGUAAUGCCUAGGAAUCUGCCUGGUAGUGGGGGAUAACGUCCGGAAACGGACGCUAAUACCGCAUACGUCCUACGGGAGAAAGCAGGGGACCUUCGGGCCUUGCGCUAUCAGAUGAGCCUAGGUCGGAUUAGCUAGUUGGUGGGGUAAUGGCUCACCAAGGCGACGAUCCGUAACUGGUCUGAGAGGAUGAUCAGUCACACUGGAACUGAGACACGGUCCAGACUCCUACGGGAGGCAGCAGUGGGGAAUAUUGGACAAUGGGCGAAAGCCUGAUCCAGCCAUGCCGCGUGUGUGAAGAAGGUCUUCGGAUUGUAAAGCACUUUAAGUUGGGAGGAAGGGCAGUAAAUUAAUACUUUGCUGUUUUGACGUUACCGACAGAAUAAGCACCGGCUAACUCUGUGCCAGCAGCCGCGGUAAUACAGAGGGUGCAAGCGUUAAUCGGAAUUACUGGGCGUAAAGCGCGCGUAGGUGGUUCGUUAAGUUGGAUGUGAAAUCCCCGGGCUCAACCUGGGAACUGCAUUCAAAACUGACGAGCUAGAGUAUGGUAGAGGGUGGUGGAAUUUCCUGUGUAGCGGUGAAAUGCGUAGAUAUAGGAAGGAACACCAGUGGCGAAGGCGACCACCUGGACUGAUACUGACACUGAGGUGCGAAAGCGUGGGGAGCAAACAGGAUUAGAUACCCUG
rnacentral:rRNA from 1 species